AACAUUGACAGUACAGCCAAGCCUUCAUAUUCCAUUAUUAUUAAACUAUGCUUCACCAGUUUGGAAGAGCUUAUUUUACAGCUUCAGAUGAGAUGUCAUAACAACAAGCACUUGUUUCAAAGAACUUUGCAGAGCUGGAUAAGUAUCAUUAUCCCCAUUUUCCAAAGGGCUGAUAGUAAGUAUGCUUUAGCUCACAAAGCAAGCAACUGUUAGAGCCUGAAUCAGAACCCAGGUAUCUGGACUUUCAGUCUGGUGCCCUAUCAGUUGGGAUAGGUUCCCGCACCAUGGAGCCAUAAUAAGAAAUCUGUACUCUCUUUUCCCUUCCUUGUCUGGUUUCUCAUUUCUUUCCUUGGAUUACUCUCAUUGUUUCUUGAGCUUCUUGCCUUCAAAGCGUCCCAGAUCUAACUGCCUGCCCUUACUCUAGCAUUUAAAUAAAUAAUUCUCCACUAUACAGAAUUACGCUAUAGGACUUCAAUGCCUUCUAAAGGGGACCCAUAACAGAUUAAAAUGGACUUGUGACUUUGAUAUUUAAAGGCAUGAAAGAUCAGGUUGUUUGUUUGUUUGUUUGUUUGUUUGUUUUAAACUGGCAUGUUCUGCUUUUUUACAUUACAAAUUCAAGUCCUUUUUUAGCCUGAAAGACAAAAUAGUAACAUCACAAGAGUUAAGAAAAUGUAAGCUGAGUAACUGUGGGGAGAAGAGAGUUUUAAUCAGGUUGUUUAAAUGUUUGGAGUUCUGAUGUCUGAGAGCUAACAACUUAUAUACUCUGUGACACUCAAGUUCUCCAG